rnacentral:lncRNA from 1 species
AAAAAUGACAUUAUUAAAUUCGUUAAAUAAUAAGGAACUAACUAUUAUGUCAUACAAUGUACAAUUACUAAAUAUACCUUUAACAAAUAAAGUAAAUUUUGUUGCUAGACAGAAUGCUGUAAUUGAUUAUAUAAAUAUGCUUGAUAAUAAAUAUAAUAUAGAUGUAUUAGUAUUAAAUGAAGUAUUUACAAAUGAAACUUACAACAUUUUAACGAGUGACGCAAUGAAAAAAAGAUUCCCAUAUCAUACCAAUGUAGUAGGUAAUACAUCUGAAGGUAAACAAAAAAAAAAAGAAGAAGAGGAAGAGGAAGAAAAAGAAAAAGAGGAAGAGGAAGAAGAAGAUGAAGAAGAAGAGGAAGAGGAAGAAGAAGAUGAAGAAGAAGAGGAAGAGGAAGAAGAAGAUGAAGAAAAGGAAGAGGAAGAGAAGGAGGAAAAGGAAGAGAAGAAUGAAGAAGCAAGAGAAGACAAUUUGCGUGGUGAAUUAUAUAAACGGUUAAAAUAUAAUGAAUAUAAUCAUAAGCCAUCGCAUAAGACUGUUAUAGAAAAUGGGACAUAUAUAGACGAUUAUGUUACUAUGGACGCUGUAAAUCUUAAUAAAAAUGAUAAUAAAUGUUAUAAUACCAAUAACUUUAGUAGUAAUAAUAUUACUGAUAACAAUAUUAAUUAUGAUGCAAUAUUACCUUCUACUAGUAAUAAAGAUAUUAUAAACCAUAAAAAUAAAAAAAAAAAAAAUAAAAACGUAAACAAAAACAAUGUAAAUAAUGGCUAUAAUAAUUUGCAUAAAAAUAAGAGAAAAAUAUUAAAAGUGGAAAAGAAAGAAAACAUGUAUAUAGAAAGGAACGGAGACGUAACAAAUGUUACAACUGAACAUGACAAUAGUGAAAAUACCGAAUAUUUGAUUACAGAUGAUAGAAAAUAUAUUAACAACAUGCAUAAAAUUUACAAUGAUCAUAAAAUAGAUAAAAAAAUAAAAAAUAUAAAUAAUAUAACAGAAAAAUAUAACAAUGGUAAUUUAAAAAAAAAAAAAAAUAAGAAGGGUUAUUCUAAUUUUAAUACAGUAUCUGGUAGAGUAAGGUUUUAUCACGUUUAUAAUGGAGGUGUUAUGGUUUUAGCUAAAUUUAAAAUAUUACAUACUCAUGCACUAGUAUAUUCUGCAUGCAAAUUUCCCGACGCUUUUUCUUCAAAAGGUGCAAUUUAUCUACAGAUGCAAAUAGGAGGGAAAAAAGUAAAUAUUGUAGCUACACAUUUACAAGCGGGUGAAACAUAUGAACACGAAAUAUGUAGGCGACAACAAUUAAAAGAAUUAAGUGGGUGGUUAAAAACAGGUGCGCCUAGUAAUUUAAUUGAAAAAGGUGCACCAUUAUUUUUCGUUGGUGAUUUUAAUAUAAAACAUGACAUAGAUAAAAAUAUUUUUACAUAUUUGUUAUCAGGCGAAUGUUUAAAUAGUUCUGUUACUUCUAAUUCAUUAGAUACAACGUUGUAUUCCAUUAGGAGGGGUUUAUAUACAUCACCCUAGUGACCAUUUCCCAAUAUAUGCAAAAUUUUUAAUAUAAAAUAAAAAAAAAAUAAAUAAUAUUAUAAGAAAAAAA